rnacentral:rRNA from 1 species
UAGGGAAUCUUCGGCAAUGGACGAAAGUCUGACCGAGCAACGCCGCGUGAGUGAAGAAGGUUUUCGGAUCGUAAAACUCUGUUGUUAGAGAAGAACAAGGACGUUAGUAACUGAACGUCCCCUGACGGUAUCUAACCAGAAAGCCACGGCUAACUACGUGCCAGCAGCCGCGGUAAUACGUAGGUGGCAAGCGUUGUCCGGAUUUAUUGGGCGUAAAGCGAGCGCAGGCGGUUUCUUAAGUCUGAUGUGAAAGCCCCCGGCUCAACCGGGGAGGGUCAUUGGAAACUGGGAGGCUUGAGGGCAGAAGAGGAGAGUGGAAUUCCAUGUGUAGCGGUGAAAUGCGUAGAUAUAUGGAGGAACACCAGUGGCGAAGGCGGCUCUCUGGUCUGUAACUGACGCUGAGGCUCGAAAGCGUGGGGAGCAAACAGG